UGCUUUUUGCAUCUAUAAAAAGUAAUCUCCUGCCCAGUGAAUUAUUCAACGGCCGCGGUAUCCUAACCGUGCAAAGGUAGCAUAAUAACUUGCCCAUUAAUUGUGGGCUAGAAUGAACGGGGUAACAAAAUAAGCACUGUCUCAAUAAAGACCAUAAAAACUAGUAUUUAAGUGAAGAAACUUAAAUAAAAUUAAAGGACAAGAAGACCCUAUAGAGCUUUAUUUUUAUAGAUAAAAAUCAAACAAAAAUUCGGUUGGGGCGACCAAGGAAAAAUCAUCCUUAAUAUAAAAGACUUACAUGUCAAAUAAAAGAUCUCUAAUAAGAUCAAUGAAUCAAGCUACCUUAGGGAUAACAGGCUAAUCCUACUAUAGAGCUCUUAUCGACAGUAGGGAUUGGCACCUCGAUGUUGGCUUAGAAAAUCUAUAUGGCGCAAAAGUCAUAUAAAGAAGGUUUGUUCAACCUUUAAUAUUC
rnacentral:rRNA from 1 species